rnacentral:rRNA from 1 species
CAGCCGCCACGGGAAUACGAGGGGAGCUAGCGUUAUUCGGAAUUACUGGGCGUAAAGCGCACGUAGGCGGCUUUGUAAGUUAGAGGUGAAAGCCCAGAGCUCAACUCUGGAAUUGCCUUUAAGACUGCAUCGCUUGAAUCCAGGAGAGGUGAGUGGAAUUCCGAGUGUAGAGGUGAAAUUCGUAGAUAUUCGGAAGAACACCAGUGGCGAAGGCGGCUCACUGGACUGGUAUUGACGCUGAGGUGCGAAAGCGUGGGGAGCAAACAGGAUUAGAUACCCGCGUAGUCCCUGUCUCUUAUAC